GAUGAACGCUGGCGGCGUGCCUAACACAUGCAAGUCGAACGAAGCACUUUGGCAGAUCCUUCGGGUGAUGCUUCAGUGACUGAGUGGCGGACGGGUGAGUAACGCGUGGGUAACCUGCCCUGUACAGGGGGAUAACAGUCAGAAAUGACUGCUAAUACCGCAUAAGCGCACGAAGGGACAUCCCUUAGUGUGAAAAACUCCGGUGGUACAGGAUGGACCCGCGUCUGAUUAGCUAGUUGGCAGGGUAACGGCCUACCAAGGCAACGAUCAGUAGCCGACUUGAGAGAGUGAUCGGCCACAUUGGGACUGAGACACGGCCCAAACUCC
rnacentral:rRNA from 1 species